rnacentral:piRNA from 1 species
UAAAUGGGCUUCUACAUGACUUUUAAAGGU